CCUGGCGUGCUGCGAUUCAUGAGGUUGCAAAGUGUUGGACACAACUGAGCAACUGAACUGAAGUGAACUAAGCAAUUAAUUUCUGUUCCAUAUGCCUGAGGGAAAAACUACUGAUGAUCAUUAAUCUUUAACCCACAUACCUGGUCCAUUGUAAAAUGGCCAGGGGGCAUGAACAAGGGUGGAGGUUAAUCUGAAGAUCAAGAGAAGCCAUAAGGAUGUUAAGUUAAACAUUAUGACCUUUAUACUGAUUGUUGUUUAGUGGCUUCAGUCCUGUCCAACUCUUUGGCGACCCCACUCACUGCAGCCCGCCAGGCUCCUGUCCUCAGGAUUCUCCAGGCAAGAAUACUGGAAUGGGCUGCCAUUUCUUUCUCCAAACUGACUGAUUAGAAAUGACAUAUUUUAAGAACAGGAGCCAACCAAAACUGUACAGAUUAAAACUGGAUACAACAGUGAAAAACUCCUUGUAUCAUAAUGGAAUUAUUCCAGGCUUUGGAAAAUGGGACCAUUCCUAUAGCAGCAUUCAUAGGCAUCUCAAGGAUACUUUAGUCAGUUAUUAAACAAACCAACUCAUAAGAAGCUGGGGAUUUCAGCAAGAAUUAUUCAUUCUUUUUUUCUUCAUUUGAAAUCACUGUAAAGGUCUUCAUUUGAAAUCUCUAUAGGGGUCUCUAUUUAUUCCUAUUGCCUAGCUUCCUACUAGUUUACUGACAUAAAUAAAUUUCUGCUGAUAUACUUA